UACGUAGGGUGCGAGCGUUUAAUCGGAAUUACUGGGCGUAAAGAGUGCGUAGGCGGUUCUUUGUGUCCGCUGUGAAAGCCCCGGGCUUAACCUGGGAAUGGCAGUGGAAACUAGAGAACUUGAAUCUGGCAGAGGGGGGUGGAAUGGCCACGGUGUAGCAGUGAAAUGCGUAGAUAUGUGGCGGAACGACCAUGGCGAAGGCAGCCCCCUGGGCU
rnacentral:rRNA from 1 species